rnacentral:siRNA from 1 species
AUACCUCAACUUUACAUGCGGCCA